UACGUAGGGUGCAAGCGUUAAUCGGAAUUACUGGGCGUAAAGCGUGCGCAGGCGGUUUUGUAAGUCUGUCGUGAAAUCCCCGGGCUCAAACUGGGAAUUGCGAUGGAGACUGCAAGGCUAGAGUUUGGCAGAGGGGGGUAGAAUUCCACGUGUAGCAGUGAAAUGCGUAGAUAUGUGGAGGAACACCGAUGGCGAAGGCAGCCCCCUGGGUCAAGACUGACGCUCAUGCACGAAAGCGUGGGGAGCAAACAGG
rnacentral:rRNA from 1 species